rnacentral:rRNA from 1 species
GGUUGCAGUUAUCGCGGAGGGGUCACACCCGUUCCCAUUCCGAACACGGAAGUUAAGCCCUCCAGCGCCCGACCCACCUCCGGUGGGUGCCCGAGUACCCUGGGAAUGGGGUGGGAGAGUAGGGCGUUGCCGGGA